rnacentral:rRNA from 1 species
UAGGGAAUCUUCCGCAAUGGACGAAAGUCUGACGGAGCAACGCCGCGUGAGCGAAGAAGGCCUUCGGGUCGUAAAGCUCUGUUGUUAGGGAAGAACAAGUACCAGAGUAACUGCUGGUACCUUGACGGUACCUAACCAGAAAGCCACGGCUAACUACGUGCCAGCAGCCGCGGUAAUACGUAGGUGGCAAGCGUUGUCCGGAAUUAUUGGGCGUAAAGCGCGCGCAGGUGGUUUCUUAAGUCUGAUGUGAAAGCCCACGGCUCAACCGUGGAGGGUCAUUGGAAACUGGGGAACUUGAGUGCAGAAGAGGAAAGUGGAAUUCCACGUGUAGCGGUGAAAUGCGUAGAGAUGUGGAGGAACACCAGUGGCGAAGGCGACUUUCUGGUCUGUAACUGACACUGAGGCGCGAAAGCGUGGGGAGCAAACAG